rnacentral:rRNA from 1 species
UUCGGGGGAAAACGGACAGAGCCCGUGAAUCCGGACGGCAGAAUUCAGAACCGGCGGCUUCGCGGUCGCCAGUUUGAUAUUUCUGUCGUCGCGGACGUCGCGACCCGUUUGGCGUCGGUCUUAGGAGACGCGUUUCACGUUCGUCGACGCGUGUUCACUCGUUGGACGCGCGUUGCGAGUACGCGUUCGUGUUCCGGCCGACUCGCCAGACGGUACUGCAGGUGACCGCGGCGACCUUUCGCAGCGUCGUCCGCGGUGCCGGUCUGCGACGAAUCUUCGGGUCUCUUUCCGACCCGUCUUGAAACACGGACCAAGGAGUCUAACGUGCGCGCGAGUCGCGGGGUGUCGAGUAAGCGUUUUUCGCUUGCUCGUUACAAUACGAAACCCGUACACAUUAAAGGCGCAAUGAAAGUGAAUUCCUUCAGUGGAAUGGGGAAGAUGGCGUACCGAGAACACGUUUCGCAAUCUUCACGUAUUGCGGCCGGUCGCCCGCAUUCCCAGGGCGUUCCAACGGCCCGGCAGCGUUGCGGAUCGCGGUUCCUUCGGGGGCCGCGGUCGGGCGUUGUCGAACCGGGGCGCACCUAUAGCGUGCACGUUGGUACCCGAAAGAUGGUGAACUAUGCCCGGCCAGGAUGAAGUCAGGGGAAACCCUGAUGGAGGUCCGCAGCGAUUCUGACGUGCAAAUCGAUCGUCUGAGCUGGGUAUAGGGGCGAAAGACUAAUCGAACCAUCUAUACGGGUCCCCCCCCCAAAAAAAAAAA